UACGUAGGGUGCAAGCGUUGUCCGGAAUUAUUGGGCGUAAAGAGCUCGUAGGCGGUCUGUCGCGUCGGCUGUGAAAACUCGGGGCUCAACUCCGAGCCUGCAGUCGAUACGGGCAGACUAGAGUGCUGUAGGGGAGACUGGAAUUCCUGGUGUAGCGGUGAAAUGCGCAGAUAUCAGGAGGAACACCGGUGGCGAAGGCGGCUCUCUGGGACGGUACUGACGCUGAGACGCGAAAGCGUGGGGAGCGAACAGG
rnacentral:rRNA from 1 species